CAGACAACAGGAAAUGUGCAGAUCACCGUCUCAAGUGUUUGAGAAAACGAUUUGAGAAGGACAAGCAGUACCAUAAGGAUUAUGUAAACUUUAUGAGUGAAACAAUAGCUCGCGGAGAUGCUGAAAAGGUACCAGAAGACCAACUUGACAAGAGCCCUGCCUGGUACAUCCUGCACCAUGGGGUGUAUCACCCACAGAAACCAGGGAAAAUAAGGGUCGUGUUCAAUUGUUCGCCAAAGUUCCAAGGUGUGUCGUUGAAUGAUCACCUGCUCGGUGGGCCAGAACUGACAAAUACUUUGAUAGGUGUUCUCUGCCGGUUUCGCAAAGGUCCAGUAGCAAUAAUGUGCGAUAUUGAAUGCAUGUUCCAUCAAUUUCACGUAAAAGCAGAAGACCAAGACUAUUUGAGAUUUCUCUGGUGGGACAACGGGGACUUUCAAGCCCAACCAUCAGUCUACCGGAUGAGAGUGCACUUGUUUGGGGCAGCCUCAUCACCUGGCUGCGCAAACUAUGGCCUCAAACAUGUUGCCAUCCAAGGACAAGGUUACUUCAACGAAGCAUCCAUUCGCUUCAUUGAAAGAAACUUUUAUGUGGAUGAUGGCCUGACAAGCGUGUUCACAAUAGAUGAAGCAAUACAGUUGGUCAGUGAAGCAAGGCAGAUUUGUAGCGCUGGCAAGCUACAUAUCCACAAGUUUGUUUCCAACCGCCAAGAGGUACUUGCAUCAAUCCCCGAAGAAGAGUGUGCUGAAACGGUACGAAAUCAAGACUUAGCUUUGGGUGAGCCGCAAAUCGAGAGAGCGCUAGGUGUUAAAUGGUGUGUAGCUUCAGACCAAUUCCAGUUCAGAGUGAUUGUGAAUGAGCGUCCACUCACUAGAAGAGGAGUUUUGUCAACAGUUGCCUUUCUCUACGACCCACUCGGAUUUGUAGCUCCUUUCAUUCUGGUCGGGAAGCAAAUACUUCAGCAGAUGUGCCGAGACAAGAUCGGGUGGGAUGAACCACUAUCUGAUGACCUUCGGCCACAAUGGGAGGAAUGGUUGUUGGAUCUACAGAACCUAGCUGAUGUCAAGAUUCAGCGAUGUUACCUUCCAGAAGGUUUCAAAGAAGUAAAGAAAUACGAACUCCAUCACUUUUCUGACGCAAGUGUCACAGGGUAUGGAGAAUGUACGUACCUGAGAGCAAUCAGUGCAUCAAACCAAAUCCACUGUUCCUUGGUCAUGGGCAAGGCAAGAGUGGCCCCCACAAAGGUCACCACGGUGCCACGACUUGAGCUGUCAGCUGCUGUUGUUGCUGUUUGGACAAGUGACAUGCUUAAAAGAGAGUUGGAAAUUAAAGAUGCACAGGAUUUCUUCUGGACGGACUCAAAGGUCGUUCUUGGAUAUGUCAACAAUGACGCCAGACGGUUUCAUGUAUUUGUUGCAAACCGUGUCCAGCGCAUCAAGGACAGUUCCAAUCCAAGCCAGUGGAGACAUGUAACCUCUGAAGAAAAUCCUGCCGACCACUCGUCGAGGGGUCUUAAGGCAAAGGAUUUGAUUGCAUCCAACUGGUUUACUGGUCCAGAUUUUCUCUGGUGUGAUGAGCUUUCCAGUGGAGAUGAUAAGGUGGGAGAUGUUGCAGUCGAAGACCCAGAAGUUCGUAAGGCUGUGGUACACAAGGUACACACUAUGACAGUGGAAGGUUCAUUGAUCGAUCGCUUCCUAAAGUUCUCCAGUUGGACAAGGUUGGUCAAAGCCAUCACAAGACUUGUGCGACGUGCCAAGGAGCUGAAAGGGUUGUCACCAAGAAACAAUGAAGCUACAAGUCUUGAAGAGAGAAAGAAAGCCGAACUUAACAUCAUAGGCAUGGUCCAACAGGCAGCCUUCUUUGAUGAAAUCCAAAGUCUUCAAGACAAAGGGAAAGUAACAACCAAAGACAAAGCCAGUAAGCUGCACAGAUUGGACCCCUUCUUGGAUGAACAUGGUAUUCUCAGGGUGGGAGGGCGACUAGAGCAUGCUGCUUUGCACCCCCACAUCAAGCAUCCAGCAAUCUUGCCAAAGACCUGUCAGGUAUCAAAGUUGCUGAUAAAGCACUACCAUCAGCAGGUACAACAUCAGGGGCGUGGUAUAACAAUGAAUGAACUACGUUCAAAUGGCAUCUGGAUACUUGGAUGUAGUCAUUCUGUGUCAUCCUACAUCUACAAGUGUGUCAAGUGUAGAACAUUCAGAAGGCCCACUGAAGAACAGAAAAUGGCAGACUUACCCCAUGAUCGCAUGGAGACGACUCCUCCCUUUACAUAUUGUGGGAUGGACUGCUUUGGCCCAUUCUACGUCAAGGAGGGAAGAAGGGAACUAAAGCGGUACGGCCUGCUAUUUACUUGUUUGUGCUCUUGUGCUGUGCACAUAGAGCUUCUUGAUGACAUGAUGGCCGAUGCCUUCAUCAGUGCUCUUCGUGCCUUCAUUGCCCUACGGGGAAAUGUUCGACUACUUCGAUCUGACCAGGGCACUAACUUUGUUGGUGCAAGACGUGAACUCCUGGAAGCUGUAAAGGAGAUGAACCAAGAAUGCCUAAAGCAACUAGGCUGUGAGUUUGUCAUGAACCCUCCAUCAGCAAGCCAUAUGGGUGGGGCCUGGGAAAGGCAAAUCAGAACCAUAAGAAGUGUGUUGACAUCCAUUCUGGAUCAGUCUUCUCGGAGACUUGAUGGUUCGUCUUUGCGGACUUAUCUUUAUGAAGUCAUGGCAAUCAUAAACAGCAGACCUCUAACAGCACAUCUGCUCAAUGAUCCAGCUGGACCGCAGCCUCUUACACCCAAUCACAUUUUGACAAUGAAGUCUUCCAUACUCUUGCCACCACCAGGAGAGUUUGUGAAAGAAGACCUUUAUCUUCACAAAAGAUGGAGGAAAGUGAAACAUUUAGCCAACGAGUUUUGGUCUAGAUGGAAAAGGGAGUACCUGUUGAACCUGCAACAGAGACAAAAGUGGCACAAGAUACACAGAAAUGCAAAGGUCAAUGAUGUGGUGAUUGUGCAAGAUGAUGCUGCUCCAAGAAAUGAAUGGAAGUUGGCUAAGAUCACUCAAGUGUACCCUGAUGACGAUGGAUGUGUGAGAAAGCUAUAACUGAUGAUCAGUAACUCAGCAUUAGAUGGACAAGGGAAACGACUAACUAAACCAGUCUUCCUAGAGAGGCCCAUCCACAAGACAGUUACUCUGCUUGAAGCUGAGUAAUAAUAUGAGUAACUGCUUACAGUUCCUUGUUACAGAUUCCAUAAAUAUUCUCAUGAGAAUUCUGUAUGUUAAGUUAAUUAGAGAAAUCACCAGGGAUUUGGUGGGAGUGUAGCUGCCGUCAGAGACAGUUAUACAGUUUAAGUUCAUUUUAUACUUUUGAGUCAACAAUUAAAAUAAUUUACGUUUUAAGGGAUCAUAUUUCUGUUAGCAGUGUAUUUUAAGAGCAUGCACAUACACACAGAGAAAGAUGUGUAUUUAAUAGCGGAACUAAUGUUGUUAUGUUGUAGAGGGGCGGGUCAUUAUUUAGACACACUCUACACAGCACACGAGUAACAGAGCACCUGGAAUGUUAAUUAGAAGAUGACGUUAUGAAGAUACUUAUUAAUGCUACGGAGAUUUCGAUGAGACUCGACGUUUGAAGUUUCCUUUCUUACUCCCCUUGAGUUAACGCGGCCAAUGAGGUAUGCAGAGUGAUGUUUACAUUAUGUUCACACUCAGGUAGCCAAUUAGGAGGUGUGUAACACUCAGGCAGCCAAUCAGGAGGCCUUUGACAUUCAGCCAGCCAAUAAGAAGGCGU
rnacentral:lncRNA from 15 species